UUUCGCAAUGCCCGAAAGGGUGACGAAGCGACGCCGCGUGUGGGAAGAAGGCCUUCGGGUUGUAAACCACUGUCGGGAGUUAAGAAAGGUGUACGGGUAAAUAGUCCGUGCAUUUGACAAAAGCUCCGGAGGAAGCCACGGCUAACUCUGUGCCAGCAGCCGCGGUAAUACAGAGGUGGCAAGCGUUGUUCGGAAUUAUUGGGCGUAAAGAGCACGUAGGCGGCCCUGCAAGUCAGCUGUGAAAGCCUCCUGCUUAACGGGAGAAGUGCAGUUGAAACUACGGGGCUAGAGUGCGGAAGGGGAGAGUGGAACUUCUGGUGGAGCGGUGAAAUGCGUAGAUAUCAGAAGGAACACCGGCGGCGAAAGCGGCUCUCUGGUCCGUAACUGACGCUGAGGUGCGAAAGCCAGGGGAGCAAACGGGAUUAGAUACCCCGGUAGUUCUGGCCGUAAACGAUGGGCACUAAGUAGAGGGGUUUU
rnacentral:rRNA from 1 species